GGCGUUGCCAGUUGGGGGGUUGUGGGACUCGAGAGUGAGGGGCACCAGAUCUCACACGGAGUUACCAAGUUGAUGCGUAGUGGAAGCGUUUUGGAAAAGCGCGCCGCAGUGGGUAAUAGCCCCGUACACGAAACGUACUCAGCCUCCGCUCGAUCAUCCCAAGUAACGCCGGGACCGUGAAAACCGGCGUGAAUCUGCGAGGACCACCUCGUAAGGCUAAGUAUACGUAGACGACCGAUAGUGAACCAGUACCGUGAGGGAAAGGUGAAAAGUACCCCGGGAGGGGAGUGAAAUAGUACCUGAAACCGUUGGCAUACAAUCAGUCAAAAGCGUCGUCAUGACUUCGGUCAUGGCCGUGAUGGCGUGCCUUUUGAAGAAUGAGCCAGCGAGUUACGGUACGUGGCAAGGUUAACCAGUGAUGGGAAGCCGGAGCGAAAGCGAGUCUGAAUAGGGCGUUUAGUCGCGUGCUGUAGACCCGAAGCCGAGUGAUCUAUCCAUGGGCAGGUUGAAGCGAGGGUAAGACC
rnacentral:rRNA from 1 species